rnacentral:lncRNA from 1 species
UUUGCCUCUUUUAAAAAGUUCUAAGUUGCUAGCCAGUCAAGACAAAUACAGAAUGUGAAGUCCUGUUCCAACCAAGGGAAAUCGGACACAGCAAUAAGGAAUACAACAUGUUUAAGACCACAGAACAUCUGCAUAGGCUGUAAAUUUCGUUGAAUGAUGGAUGCAAAGAUGGAAGACAGAUGGAUAGAGGAAAAGACAGAAUCAGAUACUGGAUGAGUUAGUACUGCUGCCUGUGCUUCAGAGCUGUCUUAUUACCACAAGGCCGGCAAGCAUCAAUGUCCCCACAUCCCCCUCUGCCUCCCCCUGAAAUGUACCGAUUUAUAUGAAAAUUAAGAUUACAAAUUAAAGCCUGGCUAUCCUGGAGUUUUCCAGUUCAUCAGCCAUCCAAUAAAAAUGAUGUCAAGCCUGUAUGCAUAAUUCCCGGAAGAUUACUUUCGUCCUUACAGCUAAGCCCUGUCCCUGAUAUGAAAGAUCUCUAUCCACUUUUAUUGAAAUAAAGAACUAACAUCAUAAUCCCAAUAUUGAGGUAUAAUCUUCAUUAUCUCCUGACCCUCUUGAGGUUCCCCCAAUCUAUAUUACUUCAGAUUUGGUUUAUGUGUAAUCCUUAUGUAUUUACUUUUAUUGAGAUAGGAUUAAAAACUAAAAAAAAAGCUUCAA